ACGGAAGGCAGCAGUGGGGGAUAUUGCACAAUGGGGGAAACCCUGAUGCAGCGACGCCGCGUGAGCGAAGAAGUAUUUCGGUAUGUAAAGCUCUAUCAGCAGGGAAGAAAAUGACGGUACCUGACUAAGAAGCUCCGGCUAAAUACGUGCCAGCAGCCGCGGUAAUACGUAUGGAGCAAGCGUUAUCCGGAUUUACUGGGUGUAAAGGGAGCGUAGACGGUUUGCCAAGUCUGAUGUGAAAGGUGGGGGCUCAACCCCCAAACUGCAUUGGAAACUGGUAGACUAGAGUGUCGGAGAGGUAAGUGGAAUUCCUAGUGUAGCGGUGAAAUGCGUAGAUAUUAGGAGGAACACCAGUGGCGAAGGCGGCUUACUGGACAAUAACUGACGUUGAGGCUCGAAAGCGUGGGGAGCAAACAGGAUUAGAUACCCUGGUA
rnacentral:rRNA from 1 species